CGGGCUAUGGCGCAGUUGGUAGCGCGCAUGCCUGGGGGGCAUGAGGUCGUGGGUUCAAGUCCCGCUAGCCCGACCA
rnacentral:tRNA from 1 species